CACGCACACGCUCCUGUUCUUGUAACCCUAAAUGUUUUUUUUUUUGCUUUUUGUGUUAAUGAAACUAAUCAUUAAUUUGGUAGUUAGGAAUAUAAACAGGAAAAAAAUGGAUCACAGGUUAUACACAUAAUAUAUCCCUUACCUAAUUGUCUGCUUGCUAUUUGAGUCCAUUACUUACACAAGACUAAUUAGAAUAUAGGCUCUGGGGUAGUUAGCCUGUCACACACACCAUCAUCUUUUUAAGAGAUGUAUUUUAAUCUUCAUCUCAGUUGCUGCCAGGAAUUAGCUGCAUGGAACAUUUGUCAUAUUAGUUGGCUUUUAGUGCUAUAACUUUAGUCAUAUUUGUUAAUAGCUACACCAUUGAGGGGAGGGAGAGAGAGGUCAGUAGCCCCGUUAUGCAGGUUGUCCAAAAAGUUUUAGUGCAGUUUAAAAUUUUAAUAGCCACAUACAUCCAUUUACCAGAUGGGGAAAAAAUGAGAUGGUAGAGAUCAAAGUGUCUUAUUUAAGAUCCAAGAUUCCUUAGUAAUGAAUGAAUUCAAGUCAAGAAGCAUUUAAAUGCCUCCUAUAUGCCAGGUUUUGUGCUAAGUGCUAGGGAUACAAAGAAAGGCCAAAAAAAAAAAAAAAGGUGAGCUUGGGCACAGAACCCAGAUCUCCUGAAAUGAACUGAAUUUUCAUUUAAGAUAUUAGCCGCGAUGCCUCACUGACAAUUUUGGUUAUUUUUCAAAGGUGGUGAAUCACAGCUAUAAAACUCCAGGAGUUUAUUGUGAUCUGUCCAUGAUCACACAGCUAAUAAGUCUAUCAAUUUUAUCAAUAAGAUCUAAAUCUCUGGCAAAUCACAUCUCACCAUCAUGAUAUAAAAUGCUGGUUGUGGUAAUUGAUCUUUCUCACAUAUGAAAACAUGUAUCCAGUUGUAAACUCAAUGCCAGUGUGGUUUUUUUCCCAUUUCUUUUGUAAGUCACCACCCCCUCCAUACCUCCAACCCAACUUUCUAAGAGAGAUCAAAAUAGUGCAUUAUCUGAGCAACCAGAAAAGAAGAAACUCUAUCAAGGGUGUUUUUAUCCUAAGGAGAAAAUAAACGUAACACACAUUCCUUCUUAUCCUACAGUUGCAGGCCAGUGUGUACACUUGAUGGAGGGGUGGGGUGGUUAGAAGUAAACAUUUCAAUGAGCCAAUACUUUUCCUGUUCCAGCUUCUAAGAUGGAUGUCCUAAGUAGGACUAAACACUAAAAUAACUCAUGACAGGUGCUUUGAAAUUGUGUUACUGGGCAUAAUUUCACAUACUUGGGGCCUUGGAUUGAAAUGCCAUUUCUGAAUUUCCUUUGCAAGACCAGCUUGGGAAGGUCGGAACAACGUCAGUUUCCUGUGGAGCCUUUAGGAGCAGCGAUGUCUGGCUGCUGCUGAGUGCUGCUUCAUUGGAGUGUCUGGGUUUUGGCCACAUGGGUUUUCAUUCAAAGCACUAUGAGUUAAUAUUGUAUUUUAUAUUGCCAUAGUUGAAUCUGCCUGUGUUUUCCAUCACAAAUAUCCCCUGGUAUAUUACCUGGCUAUAAAAAUAUGCUUGGGGCUGUAAGUUUGUAUUAAGGUUCUCCCAGAAGCAAAGUAAAAGGAGUUUCUAGACUUUAGUCAAAUAUUCACAUUGUUUCCAGAUACUGUCUUUACCCCAAAAUGAACAUGUUAAUAUCUGCUCCUUACCACAAAUUACACUGGUUAUUGAUUCAUUUUUCGAGCCUAAUUUUAUGUGCUUUUUAUGGAACUUUCAAUGGAACUUUAGAAACAUGAUUCUGCUUACAUAAAUAAAUGACUGGUGUCUUUUCCCUUC